rnacentral:lncRNA from 1 species
GGCCCCUCCCGAGGGCCGCGGCGUUGCCAUGGAGACCACCGGGCCCGCGCCGCCGCCGCGGGGCCACUGUGAGUCAGCCGGCUGAGCGCCGCCGAGGGGCUCAGCCGGCGCGGGUGGCCGGCUCACCUAUGGGACUUUGCGGAAGCAAACACAGGAGUCCCUGCUGUGGCGCAACGGGGUCGGUGGCGUCUCUAGCGCGCAGGGCCGCAGGUGAGGAGCCGGAGAGACACAUCUAUUCAAUCCCCAAGGCUAAGGAAAGGCUGAUGGACAGGCCCUCCCCAGAGCCUGAGAGGCCUCCAGACACUGAGCCUUUGGAGAGCCCACAGCAGGAGAAAGAGGCAGCUGAGCAGGAAUGGCCUGUGUCUGAAGUCCAAGGAAAGGCCAGAAAAGGCCCAUCUCUAUGGAGGAAGCCUGGGCUAAGGCAGCCACAGGGACCGGCUGCAAGUGGGCACCAGGGACUUUUGGAGGCCGAUGGAAAUAUUCUUAUAACUGCCCACUCCUGGGCAUCGUUCCAGAGAAAACCAUGGCUCAAAAAGAUACCUGUACCCCAGUGUUCACUGCAGCACUAUUCACAACAGCCAAGACAUGGAAGCAGCCUAAAUGUCCAUCCACAGAGGACGGGAUAAAGAAGAUGUGGUGCACACACACGAUGGAAUAUUACUUAGCCACAAAAAGGAACGGAAUAUUGGCAUUUGCAGCAACGUGGAUGGACCUAGAAAUUACCGUGCCAAGUGAAGUCAGGCAGUGAGACAGCAAUGCGGUAUGCCACCACUCAUAUGCGAAAUCUAAGAAAGGGACACAGUGGGAGUUCCUGUCCUGGUUUAGCGGCUAACAAACACGACUAGCAUCCAUACGAAUGUGGCCUUGCUCAGUGGGUUAAGGAUCCGGCGUUGCCAUGAGCUGCGGUGUAGGUCACAGAUGCAGCUCGGGUCCCGCAUUGCUGCGGCUGUAGCUCCGAUGAGACCCCUCGCCUGGGAACGUCCACAUGCCUUGGAUGUGGCCCUAAAAAGACAAAAAGACCAAAGUAAAUAAAUAAAUAAAUAAAUAACUGUAAAAAAA